rnacentral:rRNA from 1 species
AUUGAACGCUGGCGGCAGGCCUAACACAUGCAAGUCGAACGGUAACAGGAAGCAGCUUGCUGCUUCGCUGACGAGUGGCGGACGGGUGAGUAAUGUCUGGGAAACUGCCUGAUGGAGGGGGAUAACUACUGGAAACGCUAGCUAAUACCGCAUAACGUCGCAAGACCAAAGAGGGGGACCUUCGGGCCUCUUGCCAUCAGAUGUGCCCAGAUGGGAUUAGCUAGUAGGUGGGGUAAUGGCUCACCUAGGCGACGAUCCCUAGCUGGUCUGAGAGGAUGACCAGCCACACUGGAACUGAGACACGGUCCAGACUCCUACGGGAGGCAGCAGUGGGGAAUAUUGCACAAUGGGCGCAAGCCUGAUGCAGCCAUGCCGCGUGUAUGAAGAAGGCCUUCGGGUUGUAAAGUACUUUCAGCGGGGAGGAAGGCGGUGAGGUUAAUAACCUUGCCGAUUGACGUUACCCGCAGAAGAAGCACCGGCUAACUCCGUGCCAGCAGCCGCCGUAA